AACGAACGCUGGCGGCAUGCCUAACACAUGCAAGUCGAACGAGACCUUCGGGUCUAGUGGCGCACGGGUGCGUAACGCGUGGGAACCUGCCCUUAGGUUCGGAAUAACUCCCCGAAAGGGGUGCUAAUACCGGAUAAUGUCUUCGGACCAAAGAUUUAUCGCCUUUGGAUGGGCCCGCGUUGGAUUAGCUAGUUGGUAGGGUAAAAGCCUACCAAGGCGACGAUCCAUAGCUGGUCUGAGAGGAUGAUCAGCCACACUGGGACUGAGACACGGCCCAGACUCCUACGGGAGGCAGCAGUGGGGAAUAUUGGACAAUGGGCGAAAGCCUGAUCCAGCAGUGCGGCGUGAGUGAUGAAGGCCUUAGGAUUGUAAAGCUCUGUUACCCGGGAUGAUAAUGACAGUAACGGGAGAAUAAGCUCCGGCUAACUCCGUG
rnacentral:rRNA from 1 species